rnacentral:rRNA from 1 species
AGCGAACGCUGGCGGCAGGCUUAACACAUGCAAGUCGAGCGGGCGUAGCAAUACGUCAGCGGCAGACGGGUGAGUAACGCGGGGGAACGUACCUUUGGGUUCGGAACAACACAGGGAAACUUGUUCUAAUACCGGAUAAGCCCUUACGGGGAAAGAUUGAUCGCCGAAGGAUCGGCUCGCGUCUGAUUAGCUAGUUGGUGAGGUAACGGCUCACCAAGGCGACGAUCAGUAGCUGGUCUGAGAGGAUGAUCAGCCACAUUGGGACUGAGACACGGCCCAAACUCCUACGGGAGGCAGCAGUGGGGAAUAUUGGACAAUGGGGGCAACCCUGAUCCAGCCAUGCCGCGUGAGUGAUGAAGGCCCUAGGGUUGUAAAGCUCUUUUGUGCGGGAAGAUAAUGACGGUACCGCAAGAAUAAGCCCCGGCUAACUUCGUG